rnacentral:rRNA from 1 species
AGAGAGAGACAUGCGCGCAUAUCAAUAAGCGGAGGAAAAGAAACUAACAAGGAUUCCCUUAGUAACGGCGAGUGAAGCGGGAAGAGCUCAAAUUUGAAAUCUUCAAGGUUUUACCUUGACGAAUUGUAGUUUAAAGAAGUGUUUUCUGCUGAAGUUUUGGUAAAAGUUCUCUGGAAUAGGACAUCAUAGAGGGUGAGAAUCCCGUAUUUGACCAUUAUUUUCAGCUUUGUGAUACACUUUCAAAGAGUCGGAUUGUUUGGGAAUGCAGUCCAAAAUGGGUGGUAAAUUUCAUCUAAAGCUAAAUAUUGGCGAGAGACCGAUAGCGAACAAGUACCGUGAGGGAAAGAUGAAAGAACUUUGAAAAGAGAGUUAAACAGUACGUGAAAUUGUCAAAAGGGAAGCGUUUGACACCAGUGUUGUUUUCUCGAAAAUCAAUUAAAAAUGGCUCGAUUUUGUAUUGUUGAGACCUUAAAAGCUCACUGUACAUUUUUCGUGUCUUUUUUAAUGCACUUUUCGUUUAACAAGUCAACAUCAGUUUCUUUUGUUGUAAAAGGGUCAUUGGAAGGUGGCUUUCUUUUCGGAGAAAGUGUUUAUAGCCUUUGGCCUCUGCAAUCGAAGAGACUGAGGUCUGCAGCGUAGACUCUUCGGGGUUAGAUACAUUUGUGCUAAGUUAUAGCUUUUUAUAGACAACUUGUUGACUAUAAUUAGUCUUGUAGCUUACUCGCUUAUGCUAUUUUACCUACGCUUAGGAUGUUGAAGUCAUCGUAUCGCGC